rnacentral:rRNA from 1 species
UACGGAGGGGGCGAGCGUUGUUCGGAAUCACUGGGUGUAAAGGGUGCGUAGGCGGUCUCUCAAGUCUGAUGUGAAAUCCCUGGGCUCAACUCAGGAACUGCAUUGGAAACUGAAAGGCUGGAGUACCGGAGAGGGAAGCGGAAUUCAUGGUGUAGCAGUGAAAUGCGUAGAUAUCAUGAGGAAUACCAGAGGCGAAGGCGGUUACCUGGACAGUUACUGACGCUCAGGCACGAAAGCAUGGGGAGCAAAAGGG